rnacentral:lncRNA from 1 species
ACUACUACAAAUCCCCGCCACCACCAUACUACAAGUAUGAAUCGCCUCCUUACAAGUAUGAAUCACCGCCACCGCCACCAUACAAGUAUGAAUCCCCACCACCGCCACCAUACAAGUAUGAGUCGCCACCGCCGCCACCAUACAAGUAUGAGUCACCGCCACCACCACCAUACAAGUACGAAUCACCACCUCCACCUCCAUACAAGUACGAGUCCCCGCCUCCACCUCCAUACAAGUAUGAGUCGCCCCCACCGCCUCCUUACAAGUAUGAAUCUCCACCGCCGCCACCAUACAAGUACAAAUCGCCACCUCCACCUCCAUACAAGUAUGAGUCACCCCCACCACCUCCUUACAAGUAUGAAUCCCCACCUCCGCCACCAUACAAGUAUGAGUCCCCACCUCCGCCACCAUACAAGUAUGAAUCGCCACCUCCCCCUCCAUACAAGUAUGAGUCGCCCCCACCGCCUCCUUACAAGUAUGAAUCCCCACCUCCGCCACCAUACAAGUAUGAAUCGCCACCACCGCCUCCAUAUUACUAUAAAUCUCCACCGCCUCCUUAUUACAAGUAUGAGUCUCCACCACCACCAUACUACAAGUACGAGUCUCCACCUCCACCUUACUAUUACUACAAAUCCCCACCGCCUCCAUACUACAAAUAUGAAUCCCCUCCACCACCUUACUACAAGUAUGUAUCGCCACCUCCACCAGCUUACAAGAAGUAAAAAAGUUUCAUGUUGUGUUCCCUGGAUUCAACAUAAUAAGAUGUGUUGUGAAAGAAAGCAGAACGAUUUUUUCAUAU